GAUGAACGCUGGCGGCGUGCCUAAUACAUGCAAGUCGAGCGAACAGACCAGGACCUUGCGCCUCUGACGUUAUCGGCGGACGGGUGCGUAACACGUGGAUAACCUACCUAUACGACUGGGAUAAUUUCGCGAAACCGGAUCUAAUACCGGAUAAUAUAUUGACCCGCAUGGUUCCAUAGUGAAAUAAGGUUUUGCUGUCACUUAUAGAUGGCUCCGGGCCGCAUUAGCUAGUUGGUAAGGAAACGGCUUAGCAACGCAACGACGCGGAGACGGCCCGAAAGGGUGAACGGCCACACUGGAACAGAGGCACGGUCCAGACUCCGACGGGAGGCAGCAGUAGGGAAUCUUCCGCAAUGGGCGAAUGCCUGACAGAGCAACGCCGCGUGAGGCAUGAAGGUCUUCGGAUCGUAAAACUCUGUUAUUAGGGAAGAACAAAUGUGUAAGUAACCAGGCACGUCUUGACGGUACCGGAACAGAAAGCCACGGCUAACUACGUG
rnacentral:rRNA from 1 species